rnacentral:rRNA from 1 species
GAUGAACGCUGGCGGCGUGCCUAAUACAUGCAAGUAGAACGCUGAAGCUUGGUGCUUGCACCGAGCGGAUGAGUUGCGAACGGGUGAGUAACGCGUAGGUAACCUGCCUGGUAGCGGGGGAUAACUAUUGGAAACGAUAGCUAAUACCGCAUGACAACAGUUAUUACAUGAUAACUGUUUAAAAGGGGCAAUUGCUCCACUACCAGAUGGACCUGCGUUGUAUUAGCUAGUUGGUGAGGUAACGGCUCACCAAGGCGACGAUACAUAGCCGACCUGAGAGGGUGAUCGGCCACACUGGGACUGAGACACGGCCCAGACUCCUACGGGAGGCAGCAGUAGGGAAUCUUCGGCAAUGGACGGAAGUCUGACCGAGCAACGCCGCGGGAGUGAAGAAGGGUUUCGGAUCGUAAAGCUCUGUUGUAAGAGAAGAACGAGUGUGAGAGUGGAAAGUUCACACUGUGACGGUAUCUUACCAGAAAGGGACGGCUAACUACGUG